GAUGAACGCUCGCUACAGGCUUAACACAUGCAAGUCGAGGGGCAGCAUGGUCUUAGCUUGCUAAGGCCGAUGGCGACCGGCGCACGGGUGAGUAACACGUAUCCAACCUGCCGUCUACUCUUGGACAGCCUUCUGAAAGGAAGAUUAAUACAAGAUGGCAUCAUGAGUCCGCAUGUUCACAUGAUUAAAGGUAUUCCGGUAGACGAUGGGGAUGCGUUCCAUUAGAUAGUAGGCGGGGUAACGGCCCACCUAGUCUUCGAUGGAUAGGGGUUCUGAGAGGAAGGUCCCCCACAUUGGAACUGAGACACGGUCCAAACUCCUACGGGAGGCAGCAGUGAGGAAUAUUGGGCAAUGGGCGAGAGCCUGAACCAGCCAAGUAGCGUGAAGGACGACUGCCCUAUGGGUUGUAAACUUCUUUUAUAAAGGAAUAAAGUCGGGUAUGGAUACCCGUUUGCAUGUACUUUAUGAAUAAGGAUCGGCUAACUCCGUG
rnacentral:rRNA from 1 species